UGUUAGGGCCUAGAGGACUCAAGCCAGAGCAAAUGAGCAGCAGAUUUUGCACCUGUAGUUUGCCAGCUUGAAUCUGACCCAGAGCAGCUGUUCACAUCAGAGGCUAUUGGGUGGCCUGUGUAGAAGGACAGUGAGGUGCCAUUCACUUGCUGUGACCACAUCAGCCUGUUCAAGUUUCCCUCAUAUGAACGUGACUAGACUUUGCUUGAUCCUGUAGGAUUUUUGUAAGAGCAAACACCAGACAGAUGCGGUAAGGAAGCAUCAGUCGGAAAGGUAAAGAUGUCUAGUGUCAUACCCUUGUUAUGACUUUAGACUUACCUGUUCCCUGUAACUCAUUGCAUGGGAGUCAAUCACAGGAAUUACUGAAUUUUAAACUAAU
rnacentral:lncRNA from 1 species